UACGAAGGGGGCUAGCGUUGUUCGGAAUUACUGGGCGUAAAGCGCACGUAGGCGGAUAUUUAAGUCAGGGUGAAAUCCCGCAGCUCAACUGCGGAACUGCCUUUGAUACUGGGUAUCUUGAGUAUGGAAGAGGUUAGUGGAAUUGCGAGUGUAGAGGUGAAAUUCGUAGAUAUUCGCAGGAACACCAGUGGCGAAGGCGGCUCACUGGCCCGAUACUGACGCUGAGGCACGAAAGCGUGGGGAGCAAACAGG
rnacentral:rRNA from 1 species